rnacentral:rRNA from 1 species
AGCAGUAGCCGCGGGAAUACGGAGGGUGCAAGCGUUAAUCGGAAUUACUGGGCGUAAAGCGCACGCAGGCGGUCUGACAAGUCAGAUGUGAAAUCCCCGGGCUUAACCUGGGAACUGCAUUUGAAACUGUCAGGCUGGAGUCUUGUAGAGGGGGGUGGAAUUCCAGGUGUAGCGGUGAAAUGCGUAGAGAUCUGGAGGAAUACCGGUGGCGAAGGCGGCCCCCUGGACAAAGACUGACGCUCAGGUGCGAAAGCGUGGGGAGCAAACAGGAUUAGAGACCCCGGUAGUCCCUGUCUCUUAUAC